UGUACACAUACAAGUAGGGUGAGAUGGA
rnacentral:piRNA from 1 species